AAUGAUAAACAUUGUAAUAGAACCAACUACGCAGCAUAUGUUACCAUAAAUGAUACGUUUAUAUAUUCUACAACUGCAAUUAAUUAAAUUAUUAACACCGGUUCCUUGACGGAAUUCACACGAAAAUCACCAACAACAAUGAAAGUAACUUUCAUGCUGACGUUUCUGGUACUGUUCUAGUAACAAAUUCGUUUGGAUGGCUUUGGUGAAGGAGGAACCGAUGUGGUACCUGGUUUAGGCACAGACCAUGCACUGCAUCUAAGUGUAGUGAUCCUUCAAGAGGAAAACCAUUCCACUUUGGGACAGCUCGUUUGUUUUGUAUGGCAAAAGGAAAACGUGGAUCGUCACCAUCUCGACCUACAUGGGCACUAAAGCACAGAUGGAUCGAAUAAAAUGGCCAUUAUCUUUAACGAUUGAAGAAUGGAGGGGAUAUUUUUAGCUCAAAUGCCCCUAAGGACUCUAAUAAAUAUUCUUCUAAGCGUGAGAGUCGUCCAGCCGGAUACAGCAGUUUGAGCAUAGAUUGUUUGAAACGUUGUACGAAUAAGUACAGGCAAC